rnacentral:rRNA from 1 species
AGGACGAACGCUGGCGGCGUGCUUAACACAUGCAAGUGGAGCGACGAACCAGGGCUUGCCCUGGGGCAGAGCCGCGAACGGGUGAGUAACACGUGGGUUACCUGCCUCGAUGACCGGGACAACCCGAGGAAACUCGGGCUAAUACCGGAUGUGCCCGCAAGGGGAAAGGAAGCUUCGGCCUCCGCAUCGAGAUGGGCCCGCGGCCCAUUAGCUUGUUGGUGAGGUAACGGCUCACCAAGGCUUCGAUGGGUAGCUGGUCUGAGAGGACGAUCAGCCACACUGGGACUGAGACACGGCCCAGACUCCUACGGGAGGCAGCAGUGGGGAAUCUUGCGCAAUGCGCGAAAGCGUGACGCAGCAACGCCGCGUGGGGGAAGAAGGCUUUCGGGUUGUAAACCCCUUUCAGUUGGACGAAGCUUCGUCGGUGAAUAGCCGGCCGGAGUGACGGUACCUUCACAAGAAGCACCGGCUAACGUACGUAGCCAGCAGCCGCGGU